GCCUGGCUGGCUCAGUUGGUAGAGCAUGUGACUCCAAAUCUCAUGGUCAUGAGUUCAAGACCCAUGUUGGGCA